rnacentral:lncRNA from 1 species
UUUGAUUCCGGUAUUGGACUAAUCCCAGUCAAGCUCCAACUUAUGCCAAACCAAACACAUACCAUGCUUCAGCCUAUGGACGACAAUCAUAAUAUCACAACUUAACCCACAAUUGACAUACCAUUUUUCACACAUAGCCGGCUAAUGCAAAUGCCCUCUCUUUUUUCCACUCUUACAAUUAUAUAAAAUUCAAUUUAAUCAUGUCACAACUAUGAUUAACCUACAGUUCAUUAUUUGGAAUUGAUUUUUUGGUAUUGGACUAGUUACAACCACGCUCCAGCUCGUAAUAGGCCAACAUAAUGCUGCAACUCAGUCCAAGACUGAUCCAUCACAUACACCACAUUUCUUCCAUGACCAACUAGUCCAGAUGCCUCCCAUACCCCAUCUUAUAAUUACAUCAAUAUCAUGAUUUUCCUUAAUUUAUGUACACUUUACAUGAUUUCUAUAACAAAUCACUAGUUAAUAAGUUUUAUGCAGAGGUAGACGAAGUAAAAUCACAUUAUCAAAUCAUCAGCACAUAAUAUACAUACCAAAAUAUGUAGAAUACUCGCAAUCAUACA